CAUUAUGAAGCUAAUUUAGCGUUAACCUUUUAAGUUAAAGAUAGGGUUUUUCAACACCCCAUAGUGA
rnacentral:tRNA from 1 species